AGAAAGAUAAGCUAAGGAAGCUACUGGGUUCAUACCCCAUUUAUAGGGGCUAUCCCCCUUCUCUCUA
rnacentral:tRNA from 1 species